rnacentral:lncRNA from 1 species
GCAUGGGUAUGGUGGGGGAUUUGUGCGAAGUCAAUUUCAUAGGCUGAAGGGGGAUUGCCAGGGAUGGCUGGCUUUCUCGGACCGGCCUGGCCCUUCCUCCCCUAUUGAGCACCAUGUCGAUUUCCCGUGCCUUACAGACUCCGCUGUGAUAAUGCCAUUGAAUCUACUCUUAAAUCUACAAAAAAUUAGAGCUUUAGAACUAGCUUUACUAGACCUUUGGAAGGACUCCUACUGUCUUUUGGUUUGCUUUGAAAUGAUGGGUCUAGGAGAUCUAAGGACUAUCAGUCGGGUAUUCAGGAUCCCCCUGCAGAGCAUUGGGGGUGACCGGUUGGAGGUGUAUAUGGGAGGUGCAGCUC